UUCAAUUUCGGAGUUUGCUGUACGUGUGCCCAAUACUAUGAUUUAGGUAUUUAUUUUCAGUCAAUUAUUUAAACUCUUUUAUGGUUCUGCAUCUCAAAUGAUUUCUUUAUAUUUGAUUGGUUUUUAUCCUGCUCAUAUGCUAAUUUUGAUUUUCUCAUAUACUGAUUUUCUUUGGUGAUUCAUCUUUUUUUGCCAGUUACAGAUGCAUACAUCCUCAAUUCAUGGGGUAUACGCUUCCCAGUCUGUUAGUUAUGGAAGAAAUUUUUAUGUUGGAAAUUACAAUGCAGAUUUUGUAGAGUGGUGAUAAUAUAUUCGACGUAGUGGAUCACAAUAAUAUCCCAACCAUUUUAAAUCACUCGACAAGGCCGCAAACUUCUCAAGAUGGCCAUAUUAUGAGAUCGUGAUUUUAUUCUACCGGUACGACGAUUUCUAUUGACAAGGAAACUAUGGAAAAUAACACGACAAGCAUUGAUGAAUCUUGUACAUUUGUUCUUUUUUGUUGGGGGAUUUUCUUCUUCUUUUAAUUUGAUGUACUGUGUUCUUAGGUAUAUCUACAUAUGUGUUUGUGUGUGUUUCUUUGUUGAUAACAAUUAUAUAAUUGUCAAAAUCUUAAUAAAAGUAAUAAAAAUAAAAAUAAAUAGC
rnacentral:lncRNA from 1 species